AUGAAAGUGUUGUGUGUAAUGUGUAAAAUAAACAGCCGAAAAAUUAUAAAUGGUGGUAGAAUCGACUUCGCACGCCUGAAAGCAGUUUAGGCUGUUGUGCAACCGUGUUGAGCCGGCGAACGUUAGAAAGAGGGAAGAAAGAAUGCCGGCAAUUCAACUAAACGAUGUUCGAUCAUGGAAAACAAGGUAAGUUGUAAUGAACGUAAGUAAGUAAUGAACGUAAUUCUUCCAAAAGGCUUGCCAAAGUCACCUUACUUGCAGCUUCUCCUUGUUCAACAACUGCAGUUUCAUCAGCUUCCAGUUUCGAAAUCAAUCUAGCUCGGAUGUCCGCAUCCCGUGGCGAUUGGUGUUUGUUGACCAUGGCAGCAUACGAAGUAAAAUCAUCCGCAUCACUCUUGGCGUACUGCAGGCACUGUUUCAGCUAAUGCCAGACGAACGAUCGAAUGACUGUUGUCUCGGAAGGGAGGUCUCAUUGCGGAUACUGACUUGGAUGUGAUGGCACCGAGUCGAUUGGUCGCAGUUGGCCCUGGUACUUUGAAUGAGGCGACAUCGGAGAAGCUGAACGCUGUGUUUAGAUUAGGAGCGGGCGUGUUGUGUGCAGAUCUCGAUCGGCGAAGUGCUGUAGUGAUUUUGUGUAGUGAUUGUGUCUAUAUGUAUGUUUUAAGUCUAUAAGUAUGUUUAAAAAUAUUGUUUUAAAAAACUGUGUGUUUUGUGUAUUUUUAGGUAGCAAAAAAAUAGCACUAAAGUGCAAAAAGAAAUUGAAGUACAUAAAUCGGUCUAUACGUUUAUAUCGGUUUCAUAAGCCUCUUCAAUCGUUCAAUGGUCAAUCAAUCAUGGUCAACACUCUUACACUUCUGACGAACGAAUGCCUGGUCGCUAGCUGCAGCUUCCCAUCGAUGUAGGCACUCGAUCUUCGAGGUUUUACUUCACCUGAUCUAGCCAUCGAACUCGCUGUGCUUCCUUGCUUCUAGUACCGAACUGAGUGCCGCUUUCGAACACCUUGCUGUUGGGGCACGAGUCUGGCAUCUUUACAACAUAUCCCAGCCAUCGCAAACAGCCAUGUCCGACGCGCCAUACGGCUUCAGUAAGCUCGUGGUUAAUCAUUCGCAUCCACACCCCACAUGCUCGAAUGCACCACUUAAGAUGAUCCGGAGGAUGCAUCGGCCGUCGUGUUUCGCCGCUGUCCUUUGCAUGCUAUAAAGUAACACACCUAUUCAUCGCAGCACGAGCGCAACGUGAUACCCCAAAUAGCCAGCUCGUACUUUAUAGCUGAUUUAGGGCUGUUUAACGAAAAAUCGUUCCGAUGUCGUACU